UCCUGACAUGUCCCACCGAGAAGUGGAGGUGGAAGGGUGGAAGACGGCAACCAUCGCGGCGAGGUCGACUCGUUCCAGCCCGCGCCGUACGGGCGGUCGCUGCCCAGCAUCUCCACCACCUCCCGAGGGGCCGCGGCGACGCCGCCGCGGGUUUCCUCGCCCGGCUCCGCAUCUAUCCUGAAUCGCGGUUUCGGCGGAGGGUGGGGGAUCGACCCAGGAUGAGGGAGUACCUCGGCAUUAACUCCGAAUCGGGGGAGGGAGAGAGGUUGGGUCGCCGGCGGGCGGCGGCUGCCUAAGCUAUGAUGCGUUCGAGGAGGGCAGCGGUGAGGAGAUGCCUAGGAUUGGGCGGGCGCUUGUGAAGAACAGGGAGGGAGACCAAGUAGAAGAUUUUCGACAAUUACUUGGGCAGCAGGAUGGCUCCUGCUCUUGUUAAAUGGGACAGCCAACUCACUUCUUAUAGCCUGACCAACAUGGAAAGAUUGAAAUGCCUCUGCAAAGUUUUUAACAGGAACAUAUUGGUAUGUCUCGUCACUGUGUAUCCAGUAUUGUCUCUGAUCUUUCCUUGAUGUAACCUACAUACCACAUUUCAAUUUGUCAGUCCACUUCAGCAUUGUAGCCAGUUAUGAUCCUAGCAUUAGAAAAUCUCUGACUUUGGGACAGAGAUUUGUACAAAUAUGUUUUUUCCUCAAGCAUACGAUGUACUCCCUCCGUCCCAUACUAGUUGUCAUUGAAACGGAUGUAACUAACACUGAAAUACAUCUUGAUACCAUUUCAAUGACAAUUAAUAUGGGACAGAGGUAGUACGAAAUACUACUUUGUAUGCUUUGGGACAGAGUAAAAUAUGUUGAUGCUCUGUCUGUUGCACUCGUCAACAAACUUGGAAUCAAAACAUUCCUAGAUAUUUCUAGUUUUGUAUUUCAAAGGUAUUUGAACAUUUCAGGGUUUUAUAGUAGCAAAUGCAUAAUUGCAGAAAGCUUGACAGAACAUAACAAUGAAACUCACCUCCUGCAAGAAGUCUGCCACGCCUUUUCUCUCAGGACAUCUGAAACCCGCUGAUUCAAAGAACUCGAGCACUUGUUCACGGGGGCCAUUGUAGACAACCUGACCGUCUGAGAGGAGAAUUAUAUCGUCAAACAGUUCAUAUGUCUCAGGUGCUGGUUGCAGCAAGGAAAUAACUGCUGUUCCACCAAGAGUGUGAAUAGUUUGCCGGAUGGAGUUCACAAUCUGGAAGGUAGUCGAACUGUCAAGUCCAGUUGAUAUCUCGUCCAUGAAAAGGGCUCGUCCUGGCGUGACGAGCAUCUCCGCUGCAGAUGGGAUGGGUGCGUUAGAUACUUGGAUCGUACAGGACACAUGGUAUUUUACUUACUCCCUUGAUGAAUCACCUGUGGUCACUCUCUUUUUUUGCCCUCCUGAUAUUCCUCUCAACAUGUUAUUUCCUACGAUUGUGUCGGCACACAUAUCCAAUCCCAGGAUCUUCAGUGGUUGAAAAGGAAAAAAAAAUAAAGAAUCAGUAACAUAAACACAUUUUCAUAUUCUAUCAGUCCCUUUGAACUUAGGUGGAGAGUUUGCGUAUAUGUUGCUAGUUUGCAUGCACCUUUAGUAUGUGAUUCGUGACCACCUCAGCUUUCUGUUCUCCUGUUGCAGCAGCCUAUAUAAACAAAAUGAGAGAUUAAUUAGACAUGUGUCAAAACUUUUUGAAACAUCCAGAUGGUCAAAACAGCUAGAGCUUAUAUAGCUCAAGGCUUAAUGAAUGACUUGUGAUUUAAGAACUGCACCGAACCUUCAAGUAGACGUCUAUUUCUGGAUCUGGUUUGAUAUUUGCUUCCUUUUCUCUCCUCGAUAGCUCCAUUAGAAGAUCUAGUCAUUUUGCAGAAAAUGUAAGUUUCUCAGCGUGUACUGCUACUUAUUUUUAAGUACUACUACUUGUUUUUCCCGUUCUUACCAAAGCGGUGACCACUUCCUUGACAUUUUGCAGAGAAAUUGACUGUCUCACGAACCGUCAGUUCGCCGAUAUGCAGGUCGUUUUGGCUCACAUAAGCUGCCGACCUCCGGGGCACAAACUCGUCCAUCGUGUGCCCGUUGUAUGUUAUUUUGCCUGACAUCUUUUGGGUUUCUUCAUAUAAGUAUAUAUACUUGGCAGGUGUAAUCAUGAUAUACCGAAGGGUGAAACGAUCAACCUACUUAUUUGUAAUGAGAAGAAGAAGAACAAAGAAUUAGUUACCUCGAGGCUUGAAGGGAGUGUUCCCGCCAACGCCAGGAGUAGCGUGGUUUUUCCGGCACCAGGAGGACCCAAAAGCAAGGUCAUCCUAGCAAGAGCAGGGAUGAGAGAAUUUGCCAUUCCCUGUUUGAAGUCGAUUAGGCCAUGUCAAUCGGCCGGUGUGCAUACCACAUAAUAGAGAAACGAAAAUCUAAGGUCAUGUGAGCAUCCUCGACGUCUACCGACUAGCUCCUGACAUUGUGUUGUUCCAGUGGUCGUUGGGUGUACUUGUAAUCAUCUUGAUAUUAAUACUUUUUGUGAGAAAAGAUAUUAACAUAUAUAUAUAUAUUUUUUUAUCAAAAAA